rnacentral:snoRNA from 1 species
UUAAAAUGAUGAAUAACUUAUCAGCGAUGGGCGGACAGAAGAAAGUUAAACUUUGCAUGUCGAAAAUCGCGUAAACUGAUAAGA